GGGGUCUCCAGCGCGAAGGGCUCAGUCUCUGGUGUCCCCGGCCUGGGGCUGGCAAGCUGGGUUAGGAGCUAUGACCUUGGGGCAAAUAGGGAUACGAUCCUAGAGGCGCAGGGGAGCGCGCAGCAUGAGUGCUGAGAGGCACGCGCCCUCUGCUGCACGGCCGUGGAAUAAAACGAGACAACGGCCCCACAGUCCCCUGCCCGCAGCCCACGCUCGGGCGAGCCUGGAGGAUUGCAUUUCCUCGUAGGCUGGCAGAGCCUUACAUGAAGCGCUCAUCUUCUCCUACUUUCCUCCUCUUUAAAAAAUUAACGUGGGUGAGGAGACGUCCUAGUUGAGUACAUAUUGAUUUGAAAUAACCAAAACUUUUAACAAAUCACUUUUCUCAGAAGAAUCCAGUAAGAGAAAGAUAAUUUCUUCCAAAGACAUGAGACGUUCCCUGGCUGGCCAAGAAAAAUUGGCAUCUGGCAUACCUAGGAAUCAUUCAAAAUAGUUUAAUAGGAAGGACAUUUUGAGGCCAGCCAGCAUUAUGACAUUUGUGGGUCCUACGGCAUUUCACCUUGGAAACAUUUUCCUGGGCAUCUAAAAGUAUUGUGGACCUGAGACACUGUGCUUACAGGGCCUACUGGUUUUCACUGUAUGAGACCGAGAAUGGAUUAUGGCAGUUCCUCUUACCUCCGCUGCAUACUUGACUCCAUCCACGGUGUGCUCAGAGCCAUGAUCAUCCGAAGAGCCCCAGUGAAGAUGAAACUGGCGAAGUCGAGCUCUACUUUAACCAAGUGCUCUUAGAGCCAAGGCUUAAUGGACAAAAUGUGGUCAGUUUGCUGGGUGGAUGGUGCCACUCCCAGGACACUGGACUCCUCACAAAAUGAAGUCUGGGGAUAUGUCAAGAUAAAUGAUUGUUCUUUUCUGUCUUUCUUAUUUUGUUUGCUUGUUUCAUUAUUAUUGAAACAUCAUUUUAACAUUUAGGAAAGCAAAAUUAAAACAACAGAUAGACAAUGAGGAUGCAUACACCCAAAGAACAAGUCAGUAGUGUGGUGCAGUGGGAAGAACUGGACAGUUGAGAACCAGGUGGAGGUAGGUUUCCAAUGCUGGCUUCACCCCUUGCUAGUUCUGUGGUCUCAGGCAAGUUGCUAAACUUCUCUGAACCCACUUUCACAUCUCUAAGAAGGUGAUAAUAAUACCAAACUUUCAGAGCUGCUGUGAAGAUUAACUGAGAUUAAGCACCUUAAAGUGCUCAUCAUAGUGCCUGCAUGAUGAUCACUGAGCAGAUGUGAAUUCCUUCUCCACGUGUUGCUUCCAACUACACUUUUCUUCAAGACAACGAGCAAAAACUUUCAUCUACGUCUAAUUUAGACUGUGUCUAUUCAAAUGAGAUGAAAUGGAAAAUUCAGAAAUUUCCCAGAAAACCAAUCAAUGUGGAUGAUUAAACUAGAUAAUUCUCAGCAGCAUUAAUUUGGGCUUGUUGAUAAACAUCUCAACCCAUUGCAGAGUGAUUUAGAGGUUCAAAUGUCUUCCAAAGUAUAUUGGAAACUAUGCAGAAACCCUAAGAUCAAGAUUUGGCAAUAUAAGCUAGAUCAAAAUAGAAUUCAGAGCAUAGCUAUUUUAGAAGAGGUUGCCCACACUAAGUGGCCCAGGGAAAGCCAUAAAUAUAGACCUCAAACAAUGAGGCUAGGCCUAUAUGAGUUUGUUCAGGUAGAAAUGGAGUGGUUCAAUUCAUUGCAUUUUUCCUGUCCAACCACUCAGAACAGUUAUUAUAGGGACAUGUGAGUCCAAUUUAUUAGAAGAAACUAUAUGAAAUUGACAAUAUUCAACUAUUUUUGCACACAAAAAUGGCAUUUUCAUAUGGUUCAACCUAAUAGAUAUGUUUAAU
ensembl:lncRNA CA3-AS1 CA3 antisense RNA 1